rnacentral:rRNA from 1 species
UGGGGGAUAUUGCACAAUGGGCGAAAGCCUGAUGCAGCGACGCCGCGUGGGGGAUGAAGGCCUUCGGGUUGUAAACUUCUUUUGCUCUGAACAAGGCGCACCAUGGGGUGUGUUGAGUGUAGGGGUUGAUUAGCGCCGGCCAACUACGUGCCAGCAGCCGCGGUAAUACGUAGGGCGCGAGCGUUGUCCGGAAUUAUUGGGCGUAAAGGGCUUGUAGGUGGCUGGUUGCGUCUGUCGUGAAAGCUCAUGGCUUAACUGUGGGUUUGCGGUGGGUACGGGCUGGCUUGAGUGCAGUAGGGGGGGCUGGAAUUCCUGGUGUAGCGGUGGAAUGCGCAGAUAUCAGGAGGAAUACCGGUGGCGAAGGCGGGUCUCUGGGCUGUUACUGACACUGAGGAGCGAAAGCAUGGGGAGCGAACAGG